rnacentral:lncRNA from 1 species
CCAGUUUUUUAUGUAGCUGCUCCACGGUGAAGUCUGUGAAGCAGUCCCAAACACCCCCCUAAACAAGGCGUGAAUCCCUUAAAAGGUUCGCUGAAUUCGUAGGUGAAAAACGAAGGUUCACUUGAAAUCGAAGAGCGAGCGAUAUGUAUUUGUUGGCGUACCCCUCACUUUUGCAACCUGCUCAAUGGUUGGCCUUUUUAAGAUUCUCCGUAAUAUCAAAUUUUUACAUAUACAUAAAGUAUUAAAUAUAGAUAAAAAUAAAAAGUAAUUAUACAGUUUAUAUAUAAUUUGUAAGAGAAAUCUUUUAAAUCUAGUUAGUUCACAAUAAUUAUCAAAUAAACAAAAAUACUAUAGUAUCUAAAAUCAAAAGAUUUUACCAACUAAACAAGGCCUGAGGUUGAAAAUGGAUUCGUAGGAAAAAGUUUGAAACUCUUCAUAUUGUAACUAGUGCAAUCUCAUCUGAUUUGCACCAACAACCUUGAGACCUCGUUUGGAAUAAGAGUUAUUUUUUUCUAGAUCUAUUGGCCUUGUCCCUCCGCUGCAAAGUACUUAAGUAAUGCUGAAAAACAUGUCGUUAUGUGUUAUUUAGGUAUAAACAGAGUGCAUCAUUCAAAUUGCAAUACAAUAUGGUAUGAGUUGCAGCGUAGGAGUACACGCUACAUGAAUCCAGUGUUGAGUGUUUGAGACCAGGGUGAGGUUUGAAUUUAGGGCCUAUUUGAUAGAGCUCUUCCCCGGCUCAUUUAGAGGAGCCAACCAAACUUUUUUGCAUGAGAAUGAAAAUUUGGGAAGCUGAAGCCAUUUUGGAAGAGAAAUAAAUUUUGGCUCCUCUAAAAUGGCUCUCACUCCUCCAGAGAAGCCCCUCAGAGACGCACUGCCGUACACCUCCUUAAUCGGGCCAUAGUAUAGCAGGCACGAGAGCAAUUAGAGUUGACCUAGUAUCAAAAGAAACAGAAGCCACUCUUGAACACACAAAAGCAAAAAAAAGAAAUAAAAAGCGAAAUAAGAAUUUAGAAGUAAUUGUAAAACAAAAGAUUAGAAAACAAAGAAAGUUUGAAGCAAUGACACUUCCGAUAGGUCUUAAGAAAACAUAGAACUUUUAUUAAGAGGUUUGAGUGGAUGCUUUUUUUUUAUAGUUUUCCUCUAAAACAGUAGUCAAUAAAAAAUUUUCUACACAAUUUUCUAUACUCCAUGUCUAUGAGCCAAAGACAUGAACAAUACAAAUUCCUAUACGAUUUCAAAUUCAAAUCCUAUGUUUUUCCUCCAUAUUCCCUAUCAACCAAAGGAGAACUAAGUCAAUUAUCUCUAAGUUUAAAUGCUUUUAUAAAAACAAAUAUCAGUAUUUUAUUUCUAAAUAAAUCUAUUGUAAAUAUAUUCUAUGAUUAAUUUAUUAGUAUUUAUUUUGUGUCAUAAAAAUUAAUAUUUACAAUAAUUUUUUGGAUAGAUUUGGGAAUGAGGUUUUUCUGGUGGUGGUGGUGGUGGUGGCGGCUGUGCAAUGGCAGUGGCAGUGCCAAAGAGAAAUAUUGUUCGCUGAUUUGGGAUGAGAGAAAAAAUAUUGUUGAAUGUCUCGUAGAUUCAAUAGAUAAUUUCAAUCAAAUAAACUUCUCAAUCACCACCUAUUCCUCCCCCCUCUCUCUCUCUACCUUUCUUGCAUGGUUGCAGCCUUUUUCUAUUAUUGCUCUCCUUUCUCGCUCCCAGAGAGCUCCAUAGCAUGAUAGCAUAGUCGUCGUAGUCGUCCAUCCCUUGGGUUUAAAUGGCACAUGGGUGUGAUUUAUGUCCAAUCUGGUCCAUCCGGUGAAAAGUGCUGCUGGAUGAUGCAUGUCUCAGUGAAACGCCAGUGGAUUGACCGGUUUUUGUGCAAGAUAUAGCAUAUACUAAAAAGCUGUUGAAACCAACCAACCAUCGCAAAAGAAUAAAGUAACUUUAUCGUUCUGAUGCAUUUCGUGCACUUGUCUGCGCGCGUACAUCACCUAAACUUGCUGUUAGUGCUUUACUUCCAACUAAACUUUAGGUAACUAGGUGAUUAUAAAGUUUCGUCAAUCAUAUACUGUUUGCACACACUAUGUACUCCUCCUAUAAUACAGAUCGAUUCAUCCGUUGGGAUGGUCUAUAGCUAACUGUUCCUACCAGCUUCUUCUUUCAAGGGAAUUGUUUGACCAGGGGAACGAAAGCUAGGUAGCAGCAGUAGUAGCAAGGCUUGAGGCAGGCGUGCAGGGGAAAGGCGAGACACGGAUGUGAUUAGCCGAAACUGCAUGCAGUAUUGUAUGCGGGUGGGGUGGGGGUGCGGCCACGCACGACCGACGAGCGAAGGGAAAGGGAGAGAGAGAGAGGAGAGCACACAGCACGGCAGCACAGUUAAUUCCCCACGGAAAGCUGGGGAUGAUGGGCUGACACCUUGCCAUCAAGAGGUGCCCCUCCCUGACUGAUCAGGAGAUAUGGCGGGGGCGCACCCAGACCCCCAGCAUCCCCCACAUGUGUCUUGAUGGAUGGAUGGAUGGAUGCGUACGUCCUCCUCCCUGAGUGAUAACUAGUGGUAGUAACAUGUAGUAAUAACUAUCCUCCCAAUGGUAGUUAACCACCGAAAACUUCCCAUUCCUUUCUAUUUCAUUUUCAUCAUCAUAUAUUAUAUACCUCUUUCUGUUCUAAAUUGUAAGUUAUUUUAGAUUUUUGUUUUUCAAACAUAAUAAACUCUGCCUCCUCAAAAGUUUCCAUUUCAUUUUCUCAUGAUAUAUUAUACUAUAUUUCUGUUCUAAAUUAUAAGUUAUUUUAUCUAUAUAUUUUUAGUUACUAAAAAUAGAGAUUUUGAUGAAAAAAAACCUCUAACAUUUUUUUUGUUUAGUUAUCCAAAUGUAGUCAUCUUCUAUUAAAAAAACGAGAAUGACUUUUGUAGUGUAAAUAAGAUAUAGAAAAACUCUUGGGAAUGUAAAGAUAUUUAAAGUGAUUUUUAUACGAAUGACUCUCUAAACGAUGAUUUAGAGAGUGUGUUUUAGAAAGACUUUUGGACAUGUCUAGGAUCCUUCUGUUCUGUUUUGCUCUUCCUUAGUUCGUUCAGUCUCUGAAUGAAAGCAGAAUGUUUUUUAUUGAAGAUUGACUGUCCCGUUCUUUCUACUGGUUCUACAUUAUGUAAAUGGAUAUUUCGAUAAAGACUUGUCUCUUCUCUUUCGAAAUCAAGUAGGAGUACAGGGUCAUUUCCACCAAUUGGCUAUGUUUGUGAGCUUGUGCACUCGAUAAGAUUUUAAGAUUCUACCUCAUAAUUAAUACAUUUUCUUACAAAUAGCGAUACUAGGGUUUGUCGCAAGUCAACCACCACAGUGGGCCCGUCAAAAAAGCUUGAGGCUUCCUACGCUAUUUGCAUUGUGUUAUCUCGUCUCAGGCUAGUCUCAAUAUAUAUUUUAUGAGAGUGUCAUACAUAUUAAAUAGUGUGACACGUAAGCAAAAUUGCUAACUUGACAGGGUCAUUAAAUGAAGAAAUUUCAUCAGAUAAGAGAAGACUUUUAUCCUCAUGAAACUCAUUUGGCUCGAUUACCUACUUUAGAGUCUUGGUAACGGUGCCAUAAACUAUGCAUUGAGACUAGAGGCUUUCUUUCAAGACUGAUGCAAAUUAUGGCCUUGUUUAGUUCUAAAAUUUUUUGCAAAAUAGGAAUAGUACUAUUUUCGUUUGUAUUUGACAAAUAUUAUCCAAACAUGUACUAACUAGACUCAAAAGAUUCGUCUCAUCAAUUCCGAUCAAACUGUACAAUUAGUUUUUAUUUUCAUCUAUAUUUAAUACUUCAUGUAUGUAUCUAAAGAUUUGAUGUGACGGAGAAUCUAAAAAAUUUUGCAAAAUUUUCUGGUAACUAAACAAGGCCUAUAAAUGUACCAAGAUGGCAAGCCCAAGCUUAAGACAAAAUUAAACUCGAUCGUGAGCCGAACAACCUUGUCCAUUAAACUAUAACUCUAAGAUAUAGGCAGAUACGACAUGCGUCUAUUAGCAACACGAAAUUAAUUUCAGUCAUCUGUAAAAUUCACACAUGAACAAACUUUACUAAGGCCUUGUUUAGUUGUGAAAAGUUUUUGGAUUUUGACAUUAUAGUAUUUUCAUUUGUUUGUGGCAAAUAUUGUCCAAUCAUAGACUAAUUAGGAUCUAAAGAUUCGUCUUGCGAUUUACAGGCAACUGUUCAAUUAAUUUUUGUUUUCGUCUAUAUUUAGUGUUUCAUGCAUGUGCCACAAGAUUCGAUGUGACGGAGAAUCUUGAAAACUUUUUGAUUUUUUUGUUGAACUAAACAGGGCCUAACGCUAGCUAGCAUGUGGCUUGUAGAGUGCCUCCAGCCCUCCACCUCCAUACAGUUGGAAUUCUAGAGGAUGGAAAUCCUAUUGGAAAUUUUUCUAUCAACCCCUUUGGAACAAAUAAUCUUAUAAAAUUUUUAUAGAAGGCUUAUUUAAGAACUUUGGAGGAAUUCUACAAAAAGUUUUAAACUCAUGGAAAGUUUUUUUUUUCGAAUCGUUCUCUCUCACAUACUCCUAGUUCUCUUGUGUUUUUGCUCCAUCCUAACGUUUAAUCUGCUUACAGUUUCCCGUGAGUUUCUCAAUGCAUGUAUAAGAUUUAAGAUGUUAUGGCAUUAAUAUUCUAUUUCUACAUUUUUCAUACUCAUGUGAUUCUAAACUCAGUCAUUCCGAAGAGGUCCUCAACGGGUGGAGAGGACUCAGUAGAUGCACAGGGUGUUUUUUUUUUGCAUUUUGGCAUUGGUGGAGUCAACUAGUAAGGAUUUGGGCCAAAAUGUCUUAUCGGUACGGCAAAUGAAAAUUCAAAUGUAAUACAUUUAGUAGCUACUUUGAUAUAUCUUCAAAUUAAUUUCAGCUAGUGGAAUGUAGCUAUACCUUUGAAAAGAUAUCGGUCAAAUUGCACCUUAACCAGAGAAAAUAAAUCAAGAACAAGAGGUAAUAUUUUUCCCGGAGGGGGUAUUUCUUUUGAAUAUAAACUAUUCAGCUCUUGCGCUGCACUCCGAUGGAGCCAAUCGAUCGGCAAAUCAAAUCUAUGAAUCUACUAUCUCUGUUUUCUAAAUGUCGCUAUGAUAUUUGUGUUGAUCAAAUUCUCUUAAAUUUAACUAGGUUAUAAAAAAAUAUAACAAUAUUUAUAUCACUAAAUAAGUGUAUUAUAAAAAAAUAUAGUUUUAAUGAUCUAUAAAUAAUUAUUUUUUCUUAUAUAUUUGGUCAACGUUCUCAUGAAGUGAGAACGAGAAGACGAAGGGAGUAUCAGGAAGCAAAAUAGAUCGAUUUUUCAGAAAUUGGGGCUAAAAUUAAGCAUAUCAGAAACAGAUUGCUCGAUGAUACAGUAUGAUGAAUAGCAGGACGAAAGUUAUUCAGACAGACAGAAAAACAUGCCCAGUACGAAAUUGAAUACGCCAUACUCCGUACUUGACGGGUGUACUACUGAACUACUGAUGGAGUGCACACACAUACUACGCGUGCCGCAGGCCCUGUAGCUCGCUAUAUAUGUUCUGAAGCAGCCCAGUGGGGCCCAGCCUUUCUUAUGGCUGCCCAACAAACAUUCACUGAUUUUUUCGUGAAUGCUACAUUGAUGAACAUGAUUUUGGCACAUCUAUGUAUCGAUUUGAAUGCGCUGUCGAAAUACUACAGUGAGGCUAGCUGGAUAGAUAGAUGUGAUGCUGCUAGCUUGUUCAAAAAAUAGCCUUCCAGUACUAUUUUCUUACUCUUCCCCGAGUUCAAAAAAUAACUUCUUUUUUUUUCUCUCAUUUAUUACCACAACUACUCUGUGACUGACUUACUGCGAUUAGUUAAAUCAUAUCAUCGUCGAGCUUUUGAUGGAUGGAUGGAUCGGAAUAGUGUUUGCUUUAACUUAUGGUGUGAGUUCAGUCCCUGCACACACAGAAACAACCCUAUACCUUUCCACAACCUGAACACUGUUAGGAGUGAAUAGACGAUUGAAUGAUCGCUUGAGCUUGAGCAUAACAUUCACAAGCUUUUGUCUAGCUUGCUGGCAUGCAGUAUAAUUUUUGACUACGCACAAGCUAGUCAAGCAUGCAAAGGCCUUCUCACAUCAUGCAUGGGCAGAUAAAACCAAAAGCUAGAUCCAUGAUACUACCUGACUACAUAAAUUAAAGCUACCUAUCUCUAUCUCUGCUGUCUAAUCACCAGAUUUCUUUGUAUAUAUAUCUUUUUUUUCCCACAUCAUCGAUCGCAUCCUCAGAACACCGAGACGUACCCCAGCAUACAUGUUCGUGUUAUCAACAUGCAUGACAACACAAAUAUAGUAGUACUGUAUAUAAUAUAAUGUUAUUCACCACUCGCAUACAACAGUAGUGAUGGUAACUGCUAGUAGCAGUAAAAAUAGAGUAUCAGGAAUUGAACCAUGUAAACGGAGCAGCUAGGGCACAGGGAUUUACACUGAUGGGAAUGAUUUAGUGUCAGAAAUAUCUCGCAGAUUAUCUGCUGUCAGAUAUCUUACGUGCAGAGAGUGCAAGCAGCAGCUAGAGUAGUGCACUAGCACUGUACCGAGAUGUGUUUUUUUUUCCUUUUCCAUUCCAUUCAUUGACGAUGGAUGGAUGGAUCCAUUCAUGGCGAAUACCCUUGUCUCUAGCAUGUGUCAUCUUGCUAUUGAUACGCGGUGUGGUACAUCCAUGCAUGCAUGGAUGGAGAAAAGAAAAGAAAGCAGCAGGCGACGAGGCGAGGACGACGUGUGGUGGCAGAGAGCAGUGACACCGCGCUUUAUUAGGGCAGGAGCCAUGAAGAAGCUGCAUAUGCAUGCAUGCUCGCUCAUUGCAACUAUGCAAGGCGCGGCCAUGGCCACCACCACCACCACCACACCCAGGUGGCCAUGCAGAUGCAUGCCGCAUGCUAGCGUUGGCAGGGGAGAAGGGGCCGGCCAUGGUCAUAGUGUAGCAGUGUGGCAACUGGUUCUGCCUCGGCCUCUUGCAUGCUCGCUUCAGCUGAAAGCAAGGGUAGUGUGGCUUUGGAGUAGAAACACCGGAGAGGUCCGUCUCGUCUCUCUCUAUCUCCCCCGUUUCCCUCCCCCAUGCCUCAGCUAGCGUGACAGUUGUCUCACUCCACAGUUCGUUCAUCAGAGAGAGAGAGAGAGAGAGAGAGAGUCCUGUGAUUGAUCUUCUUCUCAGUUCUCACUAUAAAUAGGGCAGGGCACUUGGGUCCAUUCCAUCUUCACUUCCUUUCCAGCACUACCUAGCUCACUCCAUCUCUGAGCUAGUGCUCUCUAACCUUCUUGCUCUCUCUCUCUCUCUCUCUCACACACACUCUCUCUCUCUCUCUCUCUCUCUCUCUCUCUCUCUCUCUCUCUCUCGCCAUGAUAUAUACAUAUUGUUCUUGCACCCUUCUUCUUCUCAAGUGGCCGCCAUUGCUGCUGCUUGGUCUUGUUUUCCUCCACAUGAAAAGAACCCAGGUAGAACUUAAUUAGAUAGCUAAGAUACAUACAUACUCCACGAACUGACGAGGAUCUGAUCGAGAGGGGAAGGAAUGAAGGGUAUGGAACAAUCCUUGAAGCUCAGGAGGGAUAGCGCCUAGGAAAACACAUAGAUUGGAGCUAGCCAUGAGGAGAAAGAGAGAGAGAGGCAGCAGAGCGAGAUGCAUGUGAAUCUCUGAAUCUGCUCAUCUCUUUCUCUUUCUCAAGGUUGGUUCUGUCUAUCAAUCUGAAGCGCUAUCUAUCCUGAGCUCCACGGCUUGUUCUUACCAAUUAAAUUGCCACACGCCCGUCGCUGCCACCGGCCGAUCGAUGAAUAACCUGAUCUUGGCGUCUGCCUCCUCUACUUGUUUUUCAUGUUGCGAUAUAUGAUGCAGGUGAGAGGUCGUAGUAGUCUCGUCUGGCAUACGGACAUGUCCUAGCAAAGCUAGCUAGCUUUGCUUCAGAUCAGGACAUCACCAGUGCAUUGCAGCAGUGUCCUGCUCCUGCUCCUGCGGCCGAGGUAUCUCCUCCUGCUGGCUCCAUGAUUACUUUACUAUAUCCGUGCAAGUGAUGAGGUGUGGUUGUGCUUAGUCUUCAUGCAUGCAAGCUUGCAAGUGAUGGGCACGACCGGGUUUAACUUGCUAUCGUACAGAGGGUGAGUAAAUGCUGACCUAACUGGAUUCAAGAGCAUGUCCACCACCUAUCUCCUGCAUGCCGCACAAUUCAUUCAUUCAUUCAUUCAAGAAUAUAUUAUUAUUAUCAAAACCAAGGAAAUAUGAGACGAUAGAGUAUGUAGUAUCCAUUAUUUGGUACCGCAUGCAUUUACAUAAUACUAGUAUAUUACUCAUGGGAUAAGGAUAUUAGUCUAUCAUUAAGAAAUAAAAAUAGGCAUAAGGAGUGCCCCCUAUGCAUACAAGAAUGAAAUAUGAUCCUGAUGCCUCGGUGCCUCCCAUGUAGUGUAGCACACAAGACCACGAGUGUAGUAUAACUGUUGUGGUAAGUCUUGGAACACCCACUUGUUGUAUGAGAAAUUGAAAUGGGCUGGUUACUCUUCUUAAAACCAUCAUAAAUAAUGUAAGCUCAAAUUAGACAACCAUUCUCAAAAUUCAAAACUAUGACAAAUGUAAGAAUUUGGCCAAAACUUUUUCGUCUCAAAAGAAAGACACCCAUUCUCAACCAACCUUUUCCGUGGUGCAUUUGUUUAGCACUGUCGAUCAUGGAAUUAUUUUUGCAUGGACUUGUUUUCAUUUGAGCAAGCGAGCCGCGUGCAGCGAAGCUCCGGCUUGCACAGUCCUACUACGUAGGAGUAGGAGUGUAGGAGUACAAGUGACCAUGCAUCACAUCGCACAAGAAUACAAGAGCGGCGAGCGGGUUUCCAGAGGCAAAAGCCUCACCACCUUUCCAGUCCGGUUGACAUGCCUUGAUGACUGCCAUUUCAGGACAUGUAGGUAGGGUAGGGGGCCCGGCGCCGGGCCGGAUCUUCUACGCCACCGGACGCCCCAUGCAGCUGCAAUGACAAGUUGACAACGACGACACACCCCUCCUGUUCCUCGCAAAAACAACAAAAACAAAAAACAAAGAAAGAAAUUAAUGUGUGUACCGUCGGCAGCACGUAGCCUGGUGGCCCUGCUUGUUCUUCUCGUGAGUGUUUUGAAUGUAUUUCUGUACUACGACUAGCACAGUACCGGAUGAUAUGAUAAUAUUAAUUAAUUGAAAUCCAAUGUUCCCUGCCCCCCAAAAUUUCAAUGUUCUGUACUCUGGCAGAGGAGCAUGCAUUUGCUCCUCCCCCUGCCGACUGCCCUUCGUUUUAUACUUAAAUUUUCUCGUACAUAUCUGAAUCGAUGCAAAAUUUAUCGUUUCCUGCGUGCGUGCUGCCCAAACCGGGGACACCGUCCUCCACGGACGGCAUUUUUUUUUAAAAAAAAAAAUGCUACGAAGUACCUCUCAAUCUCGGAUGAAACACAGAUAGCUGCACACAUUUGUUUUUCAGCAUAAAAUGAAGCCUGCAAUGCAAGCGGCAUCAUAUCGCGCGCGGGUUUAAUUAAAUUAAUCGGGUCUCGAAUGACUCAGAUCAGACUAGCUAGUCCGUGAACGCCACGGAGCAGCUACCCUACUGCUGCUAGUGCUAGGCCUCGGGAUUCUGAUACUGUACGGGUCAAAGGGGGCGCACACGUGUUACAGUGAAACUCCGGCUUCUGUUUGUUUCUGUGCGCUGAUCGAUCGGUGUACCCAGCACAGAUCUGCAAUGCUCUGAACUUGUAAUCUUGCGUGCUAGGCUUCUGUGCUGAACCAGUGAGCCUAAUACACCUCACCUGACCUGACCUGACCAGGUGCGUGUGCGUCUAAUCAGAAACCAAAAACAAAAACAGCAAACUCUUACGUCUGUGGAACCGUACUCCUAUGCAAGAUUUCUUUAAUUUGUUGAACACCGGGGAAUUGAUGACUUAGUCGUAAUGUGAUAAUUGAUCGAUGUAUGGCGCAAAAUAUGAUCCAGCACACGACUGUGUGACCCUCCAUCCGGUGAGCCAACCUGCAACCUGGGCUUUUGUGACCUGUUGUACACAAUAUGGUCCAGUAAGACAGUUUGACCCAUUGACAUAUCAUAUAAUGCAAAUAUUCUAGUACAAGAAUCAACUAGAACAACGGCAAACACAGGCGACUCUUUUCAGAACAUUGAAGCCUUCAAAAUUCAGCUAGAAAACCAAUUUUUUAUGGUAGCCAUCAUUCUAAUGAGUUGGACCAUUUGGAAGGCCAGAAAUGAGCUGAUCUUCAAUCACAACCAAGUCUCUGUUUAAGAUUGCAAAUCUUCUUUCUUCAAAGAAAUGAAGCUGGUCUCCCUAAGGGUGAAGCCAGAACUAUCUAUGCUCUGUGAUCAAUGGAUUCAAAACCUGUAAUUGAUAGCAGCCUUAGCUUCAUUUUCUUUGUGUCUUUCUUUGUUUCUUAAUUUUACGCACCUAGUGUCUCUUUUUUUAAACCUGUAAACUGCUUUAUUAUUUCUCAAUAAAUUGCCUGCGGGGGCUCCUUGCCCACUAGAUUACUUUAAAAAAAAAAGAAUCAACUAGAACAACGUCACGUACGAUCUGGUGUGGACAAUCUGUUGAUGUUUGUGUUUGCUAGAUUUUUUUUGAAUGGCAAGUAACCUCUUUUUUCUUUAAGAAGAAGAAUCUGGAGAAGCCAGGGCUCCUACAGUUAAAUUAUUAAAAUGACUAAAGUUACAAAGUUACAAAGCAGUUAUAAGGAACGGGAAAAAGAGAGGUCCAUAAAAGAGAGACGGAAAUUAAGGGACAAAGAAAGAAAUGAAAAAGAUCUGCAUUAAGCAGCUAACAAGGCUAGAGUUUGCUUUCAUGAAUCAUAACUGUCGUGCUGGUCCUGUCUCAACCUAUAAUGGAGCAGGUUAAUCUCUUUGAAGAACAUUCGGAUGCAAUCUUCUCGGUUUGAGCCAAUUCCUCUAAAGAUCAGCUCGUUUCUUGCCAUCCAACCCUCUAUAUAAGUGCUACCCUUGACUAAUUAGAAGUUGCUCUUGCAACUCAUCGUUAUCAUCACCUAUAGAGAAUAUAGUGAAGUAUUUGAAGAGACACCCAAGCCCAAAAAUGAGCUUUAAGUUUUAGCCUUGAGUAUUAGCUAAUGGUGCUCGAGCUUGAACUUUUUGAGCUAAGUGGAGAUAGUAGCUUAACCUAAGUUUUUUAGACUCCUAUGGUGCUCCAAUGUGGAGUAGAGAGGUUGUGACAAUAACUCGAGAUCAUGGGGAAAACCAAGUUGUCUCUUUGUCUUGUUUUUUUACUUGCUCUCUCUCAUGCUUGCAACCUUUUUGUGUGAGAACUAUAAUUCAUGUUAGUGUGCUUAGCAUAUAUUUCACACCUGCUAUCUAUAUGUUGGUUGAGUCAAUAGUUUGUCUUCGAAGAAAAACUAAGGACCCAAUGUGCUAUCUGCUAUAGGGGUUUAGAGGUUGCAUGGAUCAAGAUUGUCACCUUAGUUUGUUAGAGCCAAUUCACCCUCUCUCGGUCAUUACAACAACUUCGGUAUGUGAAUUAUUGUACAUGUUGUGAUAGUUUGAGAAUGGAUCAUCCACUUUUUACCGUCAUGAAUGUCAUCGGGAGAAAUGUGGCAUGGGUUGAUUCAUGGAUCCUACAUAAUGAGUUGGAAAUGGUCUUUCAUAAAUUUCAAAACUGCGCCAGACCAAUUCGCUGAGGUUAUGUGCAGGAGUACACCAUACCCUCCAUUUGUGUUCAUUGACCCAAAUUAAACUAAAACACUAAUUUAAAACCAAACCAAACUGCAGCUACUACCACUAGUAGAAAAGAGUACAACGCCGACGUCUCUUUUUUAUACUACAGGCGGUUGUAGUUAUCACGCGCCUGUGGUGUAAAAAGAGCGGUGUCAAAACUACGAACCGUCUGUGAAGAUGCAUUUUCACAGGCGGUUUUCCUAACAGAACCGCCAGUAGAAAUCAUGCAUUUCUACAGGCGGUUGUCCUAAGGAACCGCCACUAAAAAUCAUAUUUCUACAGGCGGUUUUUCUAACAAAAUCGCCUGUAGAAAUCAUGUAUUUCUACAGGCGGUUCUCCUAAGAAACUGCCUGUACAAAUCAUAUUUCUACAGGCGGUUUGUUAAGAAAAUCGUCUGUAGAAAUAAUUUGAAAUUAAAUUUUUUGAGUUUUUCAAAUGAUCUUGUUUGAAAAAACUGUCAACAUGAAAGUUGUAGAUCUCGAAAAGUUAUGAAACUUUGUAGUUGAUAAUUUUUUCAUUUGACAUCAUCUUGUCGUCGAAAACUACGUUUGAAUUUUUUAAAUUUGAAAUUCAAAUUUUGUAAAUGACCUCAGAUGGAAAAACUUCCAAUAUAAAAGUUGUAGAUCUUAAAAAGUUAUGAAACUUUGUAGUUGACAACUUUUCCAUUGGAAUCCGUUUAGGGCCUCAAAUAAUCAAUAUAUGCUCGGUUUGGGAUAAUAUGUGGGGAACUAAACUCUUAUAUAGACACAAGUGAGUGAUAGGUGGAGCGGUAGAGGAGGCUACGCGCAAGGGCAAGAUCGCAGGUUCGAAUCACACCGGCCGCGAAACACGCGAUUUUACACGAAAAAAAAGCCAGUAGAAAGCGCGACUUGCGGGCGAAUAGCCGAUGAUCCUUCCUUAUAUUAAAAUCUUUUUUUCCUAUUUUUAAAAACCGAUUUCCUAUUUUUUGGAAAAAUAUUUCUACAGGCGGUUGGCAUAACUGAACCGCCAGUAGAAAUGCAUUUCCAAAGGCGGUUUUUAGUUACCGCCUGUAGAAAUAUCCCAUUUCUACUAGCCUCCAGCGCAGGCGGUGCUGAAAAACGCCAGUAGAAAUGGGUUUUCAGCCGCAUGCGUCUGUACUAGUGUACUCAGACCAGCUUGGAUCCAUUUCAAACCUGUUUUCUAACUUCUUAUCACGCUUAUGCCUUGUUUUCUAACUGCACACCUACUAGUCUCAUGGUUCAUGUUGUUCCUAAGUAGCUUAAAUCUGUCCCAACAACAGUAGAUUAAUAUAACUUUCCAACAGGAUACUUUACUCGGCUAGACUGUUUCUAGAUAAUUAACCUCGCCUCGCAAAUAGACAUUUCAAGGAAGACCUUGAUGGCAUCGCAAGUUUGUAACCAUUGAAUUGAUGCUACUUUCUGAAUAGCUAAGGUGCGUUACUGUAGGUGCUUGAUGCUUCAGAAGCAACAAGCAUUUCCUCCCAGCUUUUGUUUCUUCAAUGAAAUGCACAAGACGAUUUGUUAACUAGCUGGGUUCUCAAUGGAGCCCGGUGGUAGAUGGGUCUGGUUCGUGGUUCCUUUUAGCAUAUAGUAAGGUAUUGUUUAGUUUACCUCAAAAUUAAAAUUUUUUCAAGAUUCCUCUAUGAUAUUAAAUUUUGCGUCAUAUGUAUGGAGCAUUAAAUAUAGUUAAAAAUAGAAAAUAAUUAUACAGUUUAUCUUUAAAUCACGAGAUAAUUUUUUGAAUCUAGUUAGUCUAUAAUUAGACAAUAUUUAUUAUAAACAAACGAAAGUGCUACAGCUUUCGGCAAUUGUACAAGGCCUAAGUCGAAGGGUAAAGCACUCAGACCCAAACAACGAGUCGUUGUAGAAGUUGCCUGUUUUUAUUUAGCGCCGCCAGAGCGCAGAUUACACCAGGUAAUCAUCUGUCAUGCUACUCUGAAGUCUGAACUUUGUAAUUUUUUAUUUUCUGAAAACAGGCAGGAGUGAACAGAUUCUCCAGUCCUCCUAUCCAGGCCUAUCCGAAACGUAUCAAUCAAUCAAUUUUAUAAUAACGAAACUGCUGCAUUUUUUAUCUUAUCUUAUCAACACAAACGCGCGUGGAAGAGAAAAUCGUGCGUCGGAAUGGGAACGUGCACUAGGCUGCCGCCGCCGCCCGCCGCCUGCCGUCAGUUCCGCGACAGGACGGCGGCGUACAGGCCGUGCGCCGCGAAGGCGAGGCCGAAGAGGAGGAUGGCCCAGUCGGCGGCGCGCUGCGCGGCGCCCGCGGCGUGGCCCACGACGCGGAGGUGGAACAGCGCGGGCAGCACGAAGGAGAGCAGCGCGCACACCGUGCUCCCCACGAAGGACGCGAACGACCCGAACGCCGGCACGAAGCACGCGAUCGCCGACAGCGCCACCAGCACCGCUACGCGGCUCGCGUGCAGGGCCGCCCGCUCCACGGCGCCGCCGCGCUUCCGCAGCCACCCGCCCGGCGCCAGCAGCCGCGCCUCCACGAUCUCGUGGAUCGGGUGCAUCAUCACCGGGAACGUCAGUGCCAGCGCGAUGCACAGCACAACCUGCACGCAUGGAAAGCAGCCGUUUUUUAGCCUCUGGUUUCGUUUCACCGAUGGCGAUGCGGCCGGCCGGCCGUGUUGUUCGUGUUUCCUGACUGACCUUGACGGCGGCGGUGGACCAGGUGCUGGGGAGGUUGAGCGUGAUGAUGUCCUUGGUGGCGUCGCCAUAGGCGAGGUAGCCGCAGGCGCCGAAGCAGACGUACACGGCGGUGACGCCGGCGAUGGCCUGGAGGAGCACGGAGCGGAACCUGCUCCGGUCGGCCAUGGACGCCUCGAGUGCCAGCGUCAUGCAGAAGCCCUCGAAGCAGAAGACGGCGAAUCCGGCUGCGAACGCGACGCCCCAGAGCCCCUCGACCGCGGCGCGGCCCUGGAACGGCUGCUCGCCGCGCGCGGCCAGGAGCUGGAGGUCCUGCUUCACCACGGUGGCCACGGCAAGCACGGUGCACGCGUCGGCGAGGAUGCUGAACUGCCCGAGCGACGACAGCGAGCGGACCAGCGACAGCGCCGCCUGGACGGGCAGCAGCAGCGCGAGGACCACGGUGGCCGGCGUCAGCGGGCCGUGCCCGUCCUCGGCGGCGAACACGGACGACACGUUCUGGCCGAUGAACACUAGGUACGCCACGGUGCCGCCCGUCUGCGACAGGAUGAUGGUGGCCUCGGUGAAGUGCCUGCCGAUCCGGCCGAAGCACCUCUCGCCCAGGUCGCCGUAGGUGUAGUUGCAGCAACGCUGGUGCUGCUCGCCGUCCUCCUCGGUCUCUUGCUCUCGCAGCUUGUCUCUGCAUUCCAGCUUCAUUUGGUGGAUGGAUGAAGCUUGGAAUCAAUCAGUAAGCUUAGAUCUGGAGCAAAGAUGAAUCGAACACAGGUACUGUACUGACCAGCAGGAGCAUGCAGUAGAAGGUGGCGGCACCGGCGCCAGCGACGCCGAGAGCGCCGGCGAGCCAGCCGGCGGUGCGGAAGGCGAAGGGCAGGCCGAGCACGCCGGUGCCGACGAUGGAGACGACGAUGUUGCCGAUGGUCUGCGCCGGCGUGGCGCCCCUCCGCGCCUCCUCUAGCAGCGGCGCCUUCGCCUCCGCCGCCAUCGGCCCCCGGCAAACCAACCAAUGCCGUCUCUAGGAGGGGAGAAGGAAGCCUACCUCGAGCAACGAAGGAGGGCUUAAACCAGCGUCGCCGUCGACGUCGACGUCGAUGCGUCUCUUUCCGCGAUUCCUCUCUUUCCUAUUCGUGCUCUUGGAUCGACGCGCGCGGAGAUGAGGAUGAAUGGAUCGGAUGAUCCGGUCAUGUCAUCAUGAGAUGAGAUGGUGUGGGCGUGGUGGGCGAGUACAGUGGCACGCAUCCAGCGCUGUGCCAGGUGCGCGCGCGUGUUCUUGGCGGGGAACGAACACGAGGAAUUGGCACACGUGGCUCACUGGAUUUUGGCCACCAUUUUUUUUUAUUGGAUCCUGGAUUGGUUUGGCCCCGGCGGAUCGGGUGGUUGGCCGGAUCGUCGCCGGCGACCGUCGGGUUGUCGCGGUGGGGCUCAGGGAUCGAUCUGGAGGCGUCGAGUGGCUGACGAGAGGAGCAGCCGCGUGUAGCUAGCACGAUCGUUUGUCGCCGUAAUCUCAUCGGCAGAGAAGAAUCAUGUAAUGGCGAGUCAUGGAAGAGCGGACCAAUGAUUAAGCACAAUCCUUCUGUGUAUUGUUUUCCUUUCGGAUGGAGAAAAUCUUUUUCUACGGUAGUCCGUUACUACGGUAAGUACAUUUUGCUGCUAACUAGGCUUUUGGAACCGGAGGCUCGUUUUUCCAAACACAGUCCCUGCUGGCGACAUACCUUGCUAGAGGCAAUAGGGGCAACCAAACAUGCCCUUUGACAAAUCUAGCUUAGGAACCAAAUGUAUUGUUAUUUCUAUUUGGAAUUUAAAAGCAUUCUCUAUGUGCACUGUUACUUCAAACUAAGAACUAGCUAACACUGCUACAAAUGAGGCAUUGGUCGAUGUCCAAAAUCGCCAAAAACCUCGGCCUUUUUGCGGCCCGAGGUUAAAGGCCUCUUUAACACCGGUUCGUAACACGAACCAGUGCUAAAGGGUCCUACCCAACGGCUAUCGGGGCAGAGACCCAUUAGCACCGGUUCGUGUUACCAACCGGUGCUAAAGGGUCCCUUUUAGCACCGGCCAGUGCCUUGAGCCGAGGCAAAUCCUUUAGCACCGGUUUUUGCCCUGAACCGAUGCUAAAGGUCCGGUUUAUAGGUCGGCUACCUCCUCCCCUCUUACCAUUUGAAACCGAGAGCAUCAUUGUUGUUCUUGAAGCUUCUUCUUGCUUGGUCUUCCUUUGUUUUUCAUCUCCGAUGUCCAUCGUUGAUCUUCUUCGACUCCGUCAUCGUCUCUUCGUGCUUAGAGGUGACUAACUGCAUCCUUUCUUGUCUUUGCCAUGUUGUUUUUGGCUUGUGAUUUUCCCAUUAUUUUGAGCUCAAAUCCACUUUGUUAUUUUCAAUCAUCCACUUUGUUAUUUUGAAUCAUUCACUUGAAGUUGUACUAGCUAGCAAACUUUCGCUAACUUUUAGCCUUCUUAUUGUCGUGGUCGUGAAUAUUUUUUAUAUAUAUAUUGUACAGUGGUGUUUAAGACAAGAAGGGGGGAACAACCUAUGUGCAUAUUACGUGUGCAAAUUCAUGAUGGCACAAGUCAAUCGAACACCCACAGAGACGCUCAGAGUAUGUUACAUGUCUAUUUUCAUUAUCUACUGAAUUAUAUUGAAUAACUUAUAUAACUAAUACCUUUUUUAUUUAUUUCAAAUUAAAGACGGAAUGGUUGAGGGAAAAGGUCAUGCAAAAAGACCGAAUCAAAGCUAUCCAAGAGACGAUAGCAGGAUUUCUCCGCGAGCAAGUGAUCAAUCCAAACGGUGAGUUUCACUUCAACGGCAACGAAACUCUUAUUCCAAACAAUAAUGAUCAUUUAUAUUGGUUUUAGACAUUGGGAGAAAAAACUCUAUGUAUAUAUGUGUUACGAAUUUUGUACUUAUAAAACUAUAUAUAUAUAUAUAUAUAUAUAUAUAUAUAUAUAUAUAUAUAUAUAUAUAUAUAUAUAGCUUUUUACAUAUCUAUUUAAUUUUUUAUGUGGCCUAUUCAUUUUAUUAUAGGCAAAGCUUAAUUAUAAAGCUAAGCCUAUAAUUUUUAUUUAUAUAUGCUUAAUAUGCUUGUAAUAUAUAUAUUAGUAUAUCAACAUAAAAUAUGUAUUGAAAAACCUAUUAUUAUAUAAAAACAAUAAACAAAACCGAAGAAAUGAAUCGAAAAAAACCCCUUUAACACCGGUUGGUAAUACCAACCGGUGUUAAAGGGUCGUGCAACGUGGCAACUUUGACAGGACUCUUUAACACCGGUUGGUAUUACGAACCGGUGUUAAAGGGGGGGCUUUAGCCCCGGUUCCCGAAACCGAGACUAAAGGGUGGGCCUUUAGUUCUAGAAGGGCAGCACCGGCUCAGAAACCGAGGCAACAUGCCGUUCCCGACCGGUGCUAAUAACCGAACAUACUGUAAUUGUCCAAGCCCAGCGACACGCCUAGGCAUCAAAGCACAGUCCCUGCUGGCGACAAGCCUUGCUAGAGGCAAUACGGGUAACUAAACAUGACAAACCUAGCCUAGGAAACAAAUACAAUGUAUUGUCAUUUUUAUUUGGAAUUUGAAAAGUGUUCGCAUUAGUGUAAUGUUACUCCGAACUAAGAAUAAUAGUUUGAGUUAAAACGAGCUAGUGAUUAAAAGAAAGUCUAUUUUUUUCAUCCUAUCUGUAUCCAUGUCUCAACUUUUCCUCCCUUAUCCCUGUGCUCAUGUGUGGACUAGGGGCAAAUGCAACUUGUACCAUGAAAACAGGUACCUAUUACUCCAGUAUAUAUCAAACAACAUCUAUAUAUUUUAAUUGUAGCUAGUUAGUAAUGAUUAGUGUAGCUCAAACAUGUCCUAAAAUUCGUAUAAAUUUUAAUUUUGUAAGGCACGCGUCUCAGUUUUCAUACUCCUUACUAGCGCAUAAACUUGCCAUGCCAUGGCAUGAUGAUGAGAUUGAAGCGGCCAAGAAAAAAAAGCACGACAUGUGAGAUAUUAUUUUUUGUAAUAAAAAGCUAAGCACACAUGUAGUGUGCUCAUCGUCUAUCGCCCGCGUCCAGAACCUGCCUAAUACGUUCGCAAAGAUUACCGCAAAGUUAAGAUGGUGGCUUACCGCGCUUGCCGCGCGGUGCUUUCCGUGUCCAGAAACUUGCUUAUGAACAGGUUUAAUCACCUUUUGCGUAACCAAUAUGGUACAAAAAUAUUUCACUUAACUCUCGUGCUCUACCUAAUCUUGUCGAAAUAUUUUUUCUCUCUCUCUCCAAAAGUCCAACGCGACGCGAGUGCCGCAAGCCUGCAAUGAACAUAUGGGCUUAGGAUGGUCUCAUGGGCAUGGCAUAUGGGCUGAAGGCCUAGGAGGCUACGAAACAGGCCCAACGGCCCGAUUAACAGUUCUCGUUUUCAGCACGUGUGGAUCCUGCAGUUCAAAGUAAACCUCACACACACACAAAAAAACCUUCGAUGUGAAGGUGAAGCGCACCCGUGUGUGCAUGUGCCUUUUUUUUUUGAUAAAUGCGUGUGCGUAUUGCCCUGUUUUAUUCCUGUUGUGCCUAAUUGACCUCUAACAAAAUGAAAAGAGCACAAGAUGUGCAAGAGAAGCCGUGGAUCGUGCAUGAUCGUUCUCUGAGCGCGGGAGUUUGCAGCAGAUUCUAGGAUGACUGAAUGACUCAUCAGGGGGACCUCAAGAAAGACGCAUUGUUGAUGUCAUGUUCGGUACUUCGGUGACGACCUUUGUCAGUUAAAUUACGCAUGUUUGUAAAUUUUGAUUACAUUAGGCCUUGAUUGAGAGGAUUUCUCCUCACAAAAAAGCCAUGACUUAUAAGGAAUAUUCCGUACUAUAGUAAAGAAUUGUUUUUCCUCGUUUAAAAAAAAGAUGAACUAAAAGCCGAUAAAACUAGUAUUUCCGACUUCAUUAGCUCCAACUUUCUCGAGGAGGCAGAGCCCCCCCAAAAAACCCUACCACAUUUUUUUUCUUCUGCAAUCAUUUUGUGAAGCAUAGAAUCACUAUUUAUUGCAGAUCUAUUGUGAAAUUAUUAAUACUAAGCCAUCUGAAAAAACCCGUAUAAUGCAUUUGUGCUCUUUUUCAUUUAGCGCCAGAAGCAAAAUAGUUUUUUUUGUACUACUUAACUAUGUUACCUCUAUAAACCAAACAAAACUCAAAUAUGGGUCAAGUAGCUAAGUUCGACCAAAAAAGGGCCAGGAAACUAAGAGAGACUUUUUUAAUGCAAGGAAAUCAUUCUCUCUUGCUCAUAACAUACUUUUUUAGGGCUUGUAUAUGGGAUGCAAGGCCCACUGGCCAAGACGAGACCAUACAACACUUCUUUGUUUGGUUAUUUGUAUUGCUCUAACCAAGCUAGGUUGUUGAUUGGUUGCACGAACUUUUGAUCCAUUUUAGAGACAACACAUAAACUGAAAGUAGCCAAGUUGCAUUCUGACAGUUAGCCCCACAAGAAAUGGAUUACAGUCUCAUUUUUGCAGAGCGAGGCGAUGAGAGAAUCUUGUAUAUGAGUUCAACCAGCCCCAAGUUGAUAUAUAGGCGUUCGUACAAUACUUUUGUGCAUCCCAUGGGUCAGCUAAGGACCUAUAUACAAGCAACUAAACAUGUUCUAACUCUAUGGAUGCAUGCAUGUAACUCUAUCUCUAUGAGAAUCACUAAACGAUUCAGAUGAGAGAUCUUGAAAUUGACAAAGCCAUCUCAAAUCACCUCGCUAUCGACUAGUACGUUGUUUACCCCUAAGAAAAAUAUCGUCAAAUCCUAAUAUUAGCCGAGAAAAAUACAAACAUCACUUUGUGCUUAGAAUUUCAUAGGGCAUCAACUCAUGAUCCAUGUGUUGGAUUAAGUUAAUGUGAGUGAAAAAAAAAAGAUACGAAGAAAACAUGAACGAAACAGAGAGAGGUAAAAAUGAGACGAAAGAAACAGAGAGGGGGGAAAAUCCUACCGGAGACUACAAAGAAUUAUUAAUAAAAAGCUAAGCACACUUGUAGAUGAGGAAAAAAACAACCGGAGAUUAGAAGAAUCAUUAAAAAAGCUAAGCACACAUGUAGUGUGCUCUUGUUCACCUGUGGUAAGAGACACAAAUAUAGGAGACCAAUCAUCAAUCGGUUCAAUACAAUCCAUAUAGGUAGAUAGCUAACCACGCUUACCGCGUGGUGCUACCCGUGUCCAGGAACCGAGUUAUGAACUGCUUUGCUCUUGUUUGCGUAAUCAGUAUGGCACAACUGUACAAGAGAAAGUCGAAGUAUUUUUCCAAAAUACUCAUAUAUAUUGUGUAAAUAUACGCGCGAGCGCAUGCUUCCAUAUACACAUGGGCUUUAGAGUGACAGGCCUAGGAUACGGCCCGCGUCGCGUAACAACCAGCCACGACCCGAGUAACUCGACGGGCCCGCGCGCACCAGCAAGUCCAGCACCAGUGCACCACAGCUCCCCACUAUCGUGAACUGAUGAUAGAUGAGAUGGUUAGGCUCACUGUACUGUACGCUUAAAUCUUCAACUUGCUAUGGGUGUUUAUAUAUUUUUUAGAUUUAUUUCGAGAUUCAAGACGAUAUGCUUUUCGUGGUGGCGACGUCUCCAUCGACAACAAGACGUAUGUGGUGACUUCGUAAAUCUUAAAACCUAUUGGCUCAGUCCUUCGAUGAUGUUUAUAGGAAUAUGGGUUGCCUAUAUAUGUUCAGAGGGAUGAGUAUGUAUAUGUAUUGUGAGUGUGUGUUGUGUCGGUGUAAUUCAAAAAAAAACACUCAUCAGACCCGCGUGGCCGCACUUAUAUCACACAUCCACCCCCCUCCCCUAUCGCACACCCGUGCAUUCUUCCUAUAAUUCCCAACCUAGUAUGAUCGUCUCUAAGCUACAUCAACAUUUACUUUUAGAGGAACAUUUUCUAUACUGGAGUAAAUCCGAACCUAGCAUGACUGUCUCUAAGCUACAUCAACAUUUACUUUUAGAGGAACAUUUGCCUUUCAAAUGACAUUCCAUAAGUGAUCGUCUUUCAUCAGCCGGGUGUUUGGUAAUCACCUAACAUGUAUUUAGGCCUUGUUUACUUCCACCAAAAAAUCCAAAAUUUUUCAAGAUUCCCCGUCACAUCGAAUCUUUAGACGCAUGCAUGAAGUAUUAAAUAUAGACGAAAAUAAAAACGAAUUUCACAGUUUGAUCGGAAUUGACGAGACGAAUCUUUUGAGCCUAGUUAGUCUAUAGUUGAACAAUAAUUACCACAAACAAACGAAAGUGCUACAGUGUCGCAAAAAUUUUUCUUCAGAAACUAAACAAGGCCUUAGAUUGGUGCAUAUUCCUAACUGGUGGAUGAUGAUGAGGGUCCAUGGAUGAAUAGUGUUUGUUUGGCGGUCGACUUAGACAAGGACAUCCACCAGAGAAGAAUAUUCUCUAUAAAUGAUAAAUACUAGAUAAACUUGCCUAUAAUAAUAUGUGGAACAAGCUUGACACAUGUGUUCUACUUUGCUUUUCAAACUGUAAGUCGUUUUGAGUUUUCUAGAUCGAUUGCUUUUAAUAUGUAUUUAGACAUAAUAUAUAUCUAGAUGCAUAUCAAAAGCAAUAAGAUGUAUUUGGAAAAAAAAAGCCGAAACAAAUUAUAAUUUGGUAUGGAGGAAGUAAUAUUUAUCAUUAGUGAAUACAUUAAGGCUUAUUAAUAUGUUGAGAAUUUUUAUAAUGGUUGGAGAGGCGAUGAGAAGUGAUUAAUGUGUCUAUGGUCGGUGGGUCCAGAACAUAAAAAGCGAUAAGAGGCGAUGAGAGCAAGGCGAUGAUAAGCGAUUCAUGUGUCUAUGAUCGAUGGACCAUAUGUGUCACGUUGCCUCCUAUCGCCUUUGAAAUUGAGGGAAUUAGGAUCCUCAAAUAGAGAAGCGGUAAUUCCUUUUUCGUAGUUCUUUUUUUUUAAUAAAGGGUAAAAGGGUAAAUGUAUAAUUUAAAAAAUGUUUUUGAGUACUAUAGGAGGUAUAAUUCAAGUAGUAUAGUUAGAUGUAUUUUUUUUUGUUAGGGUUCAUUGAACUUGCUGUUCUUGCGCUUCUCGUGGUACCUCUACACCCUCGCCUCCCGCUCUGCCGCCGCGGCGACCACAGUGGCGGUGCCAGCGGCGCCCGGAACAGCGACGACAGCGGCCACGGCAUCCAUCGGCGACCACGUGGCCGUCCAUGCGGCGGCUUGUAGGCCACCGGGCUGCGCCCACAGCGGUGCAGCGCCGUGGUGGACGGGCGCCAUGCCGUCCGCCAUGUAGCCGCCGUACCCCGUGACAUAGGCCGCGGCGAGGUCGACGUCGGUCGGAUAGCAGGUCGAACAGGCUCAUCCAACCCUCCGCGCCGCUGUUGCUGGUGGUGAAGCUGGCCAACGAGCUGCCGUUCUGGGGGCUACCUGUGCCCUGUCCCUGCGCGUGCGCGGGCGCCGCCGCUGCCCAUGACGACGUCAUGUCGAUGCCAUCGGGCGCGAACAGGUUGUUGUACACACCGGACGCCGCCGCCAUGGUGGCGGCCAUGGAAAGAGGCACGCACCAUGACUGCAUCCGCGCGCUCCGUGGCUAUCGCUCUGUGGACGUCGUGUUUGAGGGCGAGUGGCUCGCCGUCAUCGACAAGCCUGCUGGCGUGUACUGCAACGCCCUCCUCACCUCCUUCCCUUGCCCUGCCGUCUCAGGAGAAGACUGAACAUACAAAGAAUCUGAUUUUAGGUGACAAUGGCACUGCUACAGUUUGCAAAAUGUGAUUCUACAUAGCUCAUUGCUUGUGAUUUCGUAUGUUGGUCAUCCGGUGUCAGUGAUAUUGAUGAUUUGGAUGAUGAAAUUGAUAAAUUUUAGGUAGUUUGUGAUCUGUGUGCAAUAGAACGUGUUGUCUUAUGUAUUUCUUUCUGUCAAUGCUUGCUUUGGUUUAGAUUUUAGGUGGAAUGAAAUAUAUAUGGCCAACAAGCAGAUAUACAAGUUAAUUCUGUACUAUAUCAUCGUUUUAUAUGAUGAUGUGUAUGAUUCAUCAAUUACUUAAUUCUUGAAGAAGAAAAGGAUAUGUGGAUUGGAAUCAGGGAUGACCUUGCUUUAGAGCAGACUGAUCCAAGCUAGGAUGGAUAUCCGGCAGAAAGCAGUUCAGAGUUGGCAUAUUUCCUUUAUUACCACUUGGGCACUUUUACUGAUUGCAAAAGCUAUCUGUAUAUUUAUCUCCUCCCACAUCGAUCAAAUCAGUUAUAUAUAUAAGUAAUUACUGCCAAUUCAUUGAUGCUUUUUAGUUAACGAAUACCACUGAACUGGGACAACAUUGAUUCUGCUUGGUGUAUUGGCUGCUAGUGCUAGAUUAACUGACAUCUGAAACUAUGAAUGUGGUGAAUAUAUUGGAUUUUCUUUUUCCUUGAGAAGCUUAGAUAUAAUUGCAAUGUUCGUGAAUCAUCAUUAGUUUUUGCCAGAAAAGGCCCAUGGCUUUGUCCUGAUUUAUCUAUGACAGCCCCAGUAAAUAACUUAUGAAAACCGUGCUCUGCUACGAGAGCAAAGAAGGCUAUUGCUAACACCAUACACUCAUUCAGUUCCGGUGUGUAUAGUACAAAGCAUUCAACCAGAAAUUAAGCGUGCACCAAGUCCACCCACUUUCACGAACAAAAACUUACAGAUUUUAUAGCACUAGUAAAGACUCAAUGUGUGACACAAUAUAUUGGUAACGAGGUUCUUAAAGCGAGAUAUUUCCCCAACUCAAAUAUUCUACAAUGUAAGGCUCGAGCUGGAAUCUCAUAUACAUGGAGGAGCAUAAUUGAUGGGCAGCUCCAGCCUCCCCGCGCCGCCCUAGGCUGGAUCGAGGCUAGGCGGCCGCCUCCUCGUCGCCCUAGGCCGGACGAGGGCAGCUGUGGGGUCAUCGCCCCUGUGCACGCACGAAGGCAGCCAUCGCCCUGCCCUAGCCUCUGGACCUCUCCCUCUGGGGCUCGAUCUGGAGUGCGAGGAUGGGGAGAAGGGAGAAAGAGGCGUAGGAGGGGGCGAUGGUAUCUGUAGGAGGAG